rnacentral:sRNA from 1 species
UUUUGUGUCUUCUUUCUU